GCGGAAAUCAAAACGUAGUUACAAAAAAAAGUUUAGAAAUGCGGAAAUAAAAACGUAGUUAUAAAAAAAAGUUCCCCAAAAACGUCGAUACUGUGUUGAAGACGAGCAGCUGCUGAACCCAGCUAUCAAAAGCGUAUUCUCCGUAGUGUAAAUGUAACCGACUGAGUAGGCAUAGUUAUAUAGCUCCUGUCACCCAAUGGCAGGCCUUCAAUGUGUUAAGAUGGAUACAAUAUACAACCUUCUCCAGCAGCACAGACUGGACACCUACCACCACAAAUUCCUCACUUUGGGUGUCCAAGACGAGAGAGAUUUCACCGAUAGUGUAAAUGGUGAAGAUUUAGACAAAAUGGGUUUCAGUCAAGUAGAGAAGAAUCGCUUUGAAAAAAUGAAAGAUUUCAUCCAAAGACACAGAGCGCCACAGCAAGCGAUGCCUGUACAAAAACCAAUGGAGUCUUUCCAACUGUGGUACACAUACCCCCACUGUCCUGAGCUAAAAGAGAUCAGAGGGUCUUUGAAAGACAGGCACAUUGAAAUUGGAAGUGAGCUCUAUGCCAUGUUUACACCCAAGGAGAACUUGAGACCAGCCCUGCUAGUGACACUACAAGAAAUGACUGACAUGACAGGAGAGGAUAAUGUUCGAUGCCACAUCAUGCUCAAGAUGUGAACGAUGUGGAGUUGGACAGACUUUGCUAGAUUGUGGAAUCAAUGAGGAGUCAACUGUGGUCUUUUCUCUGUCCUCCUUCCCUGAUGAGCGUCCAGACACUAUGGAAUUCUACUUCAAUGAUGUCGUACCCUCAGUGCAACAAUCCCAGAAAGGACUCAGUGCUUUCUUUUCUUCACUUUAUGCCAUUAACAAUAGAGAACACCGUUCUGGAGAUGUAUUAAGCAAAGUGAUUGCAUACAUCCGAAAGCUCAGUGGGUGCAAUCCUUUGGCCCAAAGUCUGCAUCAGCUGUUGUAUAGAAAUGAGGUUGGAACAAGGACCCAGAAGGUUGCUAUCGUUGAAGGAUUGUACAAUCUCUUCAGAGAGCUGUUGCCAAGCUUCCACAAAAGAAGAGGUGACAAAAUCAUUGAAGACUCAGAUGUUUUUGAGAAUGCACCAGUGUGCUGGGCCUACCUGUUAUCUGAAGCAAAGAAAGAGAGUUCACAACAUGAGGUCUAUGUACCAAUAGUCUUGAACUCUCAACCUGGAGAACGUUUCUGCGACCCAGUUCGAGUACCUGGGUUACCAGAUGUCUUUGAGAGAGAGUAUGUUCUGCAGAAAAUCAAAGAUGGAGAGAAAAUCCCAAACUGCUCUGUGGAGAUCCUGACAGAUACUUCAAUGUCUAGAGCCUCUGAUGUUGAAAAGAUUUUGCUCAGUCUGCCUCCAUUCAUCAAAACAUUCCCUAAGUGGGCUUCAUCUGGACUUGUGACUGGCCAAAAUUUUCAGAUUGUUCUCGAUGACACAUUUGCCAAGAUGAACGAAGAAGUGAAAGAAUACGUUAAUCUGACAGUGACUCCAGCAUUACAGUUGAAGGAUGUUGGAGUAUAUGGGCCACGUCUCGUCUUCUUG
ensembl:lncRNA